AUUCUUUAAUAAUCUUUUGUUGAACUUCUAAACUACAUAUUACCCUUUGUGGUACUUCUCCUCUCUUUUUUGGAUGCUUCCAUAAAUAUCCAUCAUGUAAAAAAUAUCCAUAGGCUUUCUUAUGAAUUUUCUUAAAUUCUUGAUCUCUUCAAUCUUUUUGUUGUUUUAAUGUGCUCAAAUACUCUCCAACAUCUUUCCAUUCAUUUUCAUAUAAAUCUCUUAAAAAUGCUUCUAAUGGUAUAUUAAAACAUACACCCUUUUCCUUUGA
rnacentral:lncRNA from 1 species